UUUCUGUUUUCUUCGUUCCCUCAGCCCCACGAACCCCGGGAGAUUUAAACCGCGCCUUACUAGUGAUGUACAUUCGCUCGGAACCUGCUUCCCCAGAAAGGAGAUGUGUGAAAAUUCUUUGUCCUCUAGGAUACAGACAGUGAGUGUGGGAGUUAGCACAGAACCUUGCUAUGCCAGGCAGGGAAUGAAGAGUCUCUUAGAGCCAAUGGAUUCCACUCCUUUGGAUGACCGGCUCCAGGCCCUGGAGCCCUCAGAAUAUGGAUGGAGAUUUGCAGACUUGGUGGCUCCUGCCUCCUCCCCUCCCUGGCUCAGUGAGGAAGACCCCCGCCACUGGCUCUACUUUCCAGCUGAUCACAGCUAUUUACCUGUCCCAGUCUUGAGUAAGGCACAAAAUAUGUACAGAAAACAGAUGUCUUUCAGAGGACUUGCUGCUAAGUGUAAUAGUGAAGAUUACUUGCAUUACUGCUACUUUCCAAUCAAUUAAAAAAAAAAAGAAAUAGAAAACUUUGUAUUACAAAGAGAUCACAACACGAACGCAUUGUUU
rnacentral:sRNA from 1 species